GGGGUGGACGGGUGGGGCUGCCAGAAGGCGCUCGAAGGGGUCAUUUGGGGGUUGGGGGUUUCAUGGGUCCGGAGAGAGGUCUCCAGACUCAGCUGUGGCCCUAGGAUACAGAAAACUCCGGAGAGGGACAUUGGACCGGGGUGCCGCAUGCCUCAUGGUGAAACCUGGCCUUGCACUGGGAUUGGUGGAUUGUCAGUACUUAAAGCAUCCUGUUCUGAUCCUUUAGAUUGGAAGUAUUGGCUCCCAUUUGGGCUUUCUGUAUACAAAUGGCCAUUUGCCCUUUCUGUUCUAGAUUAAUUUUUUGGAUUAAGACUGUUGUCUGCAGUGACUUUAAUGUAUGACAUUUCAGGACUGCCCCAGGAGUGGCUUCUUCCAAAGUGCACUACAGAGGACUUUAUUCUCAAGUUCUUAGUCCACAUUGCAAGGAUGGAAUGUGCAGAUAAAGUAGUGGUUUGCAGGUUCUAUAGCCCAAUUGAAGUGGUUACAGGCAGAAAAGUUAGAGAACCAUUUUCUAAUUUUCCUUAUGUUUUUUUUCUCAGACUAGAGGGCCAGAAUAUUCUCUAUGGAGAGCAUGCUGCUCAAACAGCAUCUGAAGACCUAUAAAAGAGUGAAAGAAUUUCCCCCUCCCACCCUUCCAAGAAAUCAGGAGUCGGAGAAGUGUCCUGGUGACUUCACAUAAUGUGUAUGGAACUUUUCAAAUGUCAGUUGUCCUGUGGACUUGAACUUUGUCAGAGCCAAAGACUCCAUAUAUCCUGUACUACACAAUCCUGUCUUCAAAUGAUUUGUAGGUUGGAGCUAGGAGACUUUCUGAGUACAUUGUAGCCCCUUCCUUGCUUGGCUAGGUGCGAAGAUGAAAGGUCAUUAUUGUAACCAUCCUGUUACAAAAAAAUGUACUGUAAAAACUAAGUCUUCCACCCUUUGCCCUCUAGAAGUUACCUUUUCCAAAGAAACCAUUGUUUCCAGUUUUUUAAUUUAUUCUCCUAAAGAAUAGGUUGUAAUAAAACAUUACAUGACCUGUAUCUCACUCUCCUUCAACUCAUUGACAUUCCUUGGACCUCAAUCGUAGGUAGAGUUGUAAGUAGUGUAAAUUGGUUAGUUAUUUGGCUUUUGAUGACCUAUACCUAGAACUGGAUCCUGGAAAGACAGUUUCCAGGCAUGAGGACUACAAAGCAUGAUGUAUUGAGGACUGUGUGAAGUUCUAGCAUAGCUCGGAGAUGUUCUUUUCCUGCCUUGAGGCAGUUGUGGGGAGGCUCAGGUCAUAGUUCAGGAGAGAAACUAGUUCCUUUUAUUCCCAUCUGCUGAUACGAGUUGGCUGAUGGGAAAUACAGUCAGCAUUAAUACAUGUGAUUGGCCAUUUCUGUUUUUCUGUUUAGAACUUGCAGACAUCAGUGAGAUCAGGACUUUUUGUUUGUUGGUAGUUCAUAUUGCCAUUAAAGCCUUAGGAAAAUUAUCAAUGAUUAAGAUGUGGGAAUAAGCUGAUCUAUAUGAGGGAGCAAGCUGUGGUAAGCCAACUUAAUGUAAUUGCUAUUUCCUCUGUAUUUUCUAGACAAGGAGAGGGUAAACAGACACAUAGGGCCUCUAUUAAUCAAUUGAGUAUUUACUGAGUAACUUGCAUAGUCUGCAUUUAGGGAGAUGUAGAAGUAAUCACAGCUCCUGAUUUCAAUGAAAUUAUAGUUUAGUUAAGUAGCAAGACUAACAUGAUGCAUAAACAAUGUGUGUCAGGCACCACUAAAGUAUUAAUGUCAUAGGAGUUCAGAGGAGAGGGAGACCAGUAAAUUAAGCUGGUGAGCUCAGGAAAGAUUUCCUGGAUGAAAUGGGACUUGAGCUUGGAAUUGUAGAAUGGAGACAAUUUGGAUAGGAGAAGCUGAGGAAGGAAAUCAUACCUUGGAGGUGUUUUUCUCUUAUUCUUUUACAGAGAAUUUAAAUUCACUUUUCGGGGCACCUCGGUGGCUCAGUU